rnacentral:rRNA from 1 species
UACGAAGGGGGCUAGCGUUGCUCGGAAUUACUGGGCGUAAAGCGCACGUAGGCGGAUUGUUAAGUCGGGGGUGAAAUCCUGGAGCUCAACUCCAGAACUGCCUUCGAUACUGGCGAUCUCGAGUUCGGGAGAGGUGAGUGGAACUGCGAGUGUAGAGGUGAAAUUCGUAGAUAUUCGCAAGAACACCAGUGGCGAAGGCGGCUCACUGGCCCGAUACUGACGCUGAGGUGCGAAGCGUGGGGA